UGUACAUCCCACUCAACUGGUUUGGAACAUACUACAGAAUGAUCCAGACUUCCUUUAUUGACAUGGAAAACAUGUUCCAACUUUUCGAAGAAGAUCAAGAGGUGAAGGAUGAAGUAAAUGCAGGAAGCUUUCUCUUUAAAUUGGGGAAAGUGGAGUUUGAAAACGUUUACUUCAGCUACAUAAAUGGGUUGGUUUAUUUUUGCGUUGAUUU